GACUCGUUAGCUCAGUUGGUAGAGCAAUUGACUUUUAAUCAAUGGGUCGCGUGUUCAAGUCAUGUAGCCGGCA
rnacentral:tRNA from 1 species